rnacentral:lncRNA from 1 species
ACGCCAUCUGGUGUGGGAGUGUUGACUGAAUGCUCGCUACACGGAGGAAUCAUUACAAGAGUAAAAGUGCGUAAUUUAUUUAUAAAUUAAAAAAAGAGAAAAUAAUAUUGACCUUGAAAAAACGAUAGGGUGAAAGCCGUCGUUGUAAAAAUUCGAGUAAACUGGAAUAUUACAGAUAAAGCCCAUGAAGUAUUAAAGUAAAUAUCCACAACUCUCGAAAUCCUGCAAGAUAGGAUGAUUUUGAAUCAGUGAUUAGGUCUUAUAUGAUCAAUUCUUGGAAACUACUAGUUUUAGCAAUAUUUGGAGAAUCUACAGCCUUAGCUUGUGUAUGGUCCAGAUAUCACCGAGCACCCAAGUAUAAAUUAGCCUUACAACUCUCUAAUAGAAACUUAAUAACUUCAACUUAAAUUGCAUACUGACAUAGGAUUUGGGCUGACUUAGUAAUUAAAACUCUGUGUGCUUUUGAAAUUCUUGGCACUUAUGCAUUUGAAGUUAGAUUUUAUAAAACAAUAAACUCUUUGGAUAGAGACAACAGUUUGUGGGUAUCUGAGCCGAAAAUUCUCACGAGACAAAACUCGUCCACUAGGGCCACCUAGGGGUUUAAAGCCUUAUUGCAUGCGGUAAAUGCAAUCGCGAUUCCUGCGAAAGUGAGUUAGUUUUUUCUAUUUUGCUCGAGGACUAGCAAAAUGUAAGUUGGGGGGUGUGAUAAGUGCUAAAUAAUGAAUAAAUUUAUCUAAUUUACAUAGCACUUUAUCAUU